UCACUGCUGAGGAGUCGUAUAAUAGGACGAAACGGCCGUUCAGUGC
rnacentral:hammerhead_ribozyme from 1 species